rnacentral:rRNA from 1 species
GAUGAACGCUGGCGGCGUGCCUAAUACAUGCAAGUCGAGCGAACGGACGAGAAGCUUGCUUUUCUGAUGUUAGCGGCGGACGGGUGAGUAACACGUGGAUAACCUACCUAUAAGACUGGGAUAACUUCGGGAAACCGGCGCUAAUCCCGGAUAAUCUUUUGAACCGCAUGGUUCAAAAGUGAAAGACGGUCUUGCUGUCACUUAUAGAUGGAUCCGCGCUGCAUUAGCUAGUUGGUAAGGUAACGGCUUACCAAGGCAACGAUGCAUAGCCGACCUGAGAGGGUGAUCGGCCACACUGGAACUGAGACACGGUCCAGACUCCUACGGGAGGCAGCAGUAGGGAAUCUUCCGCAAAGGGCGAAAGCCUGACGGAGCAACGCCGCGUGAGUGAUGAAGGUCUUCGGAUCGUAAAACUCUGUUAUUAGGGAAGAACAUAUGUGUAAGUAACUGUGCACAUCUUGACGGUACCUAAUCAGAAAGCCACGGCUAACUACGUG